AGCAGGCUUAACAAACCCAGUAUAAUUCAAUCAGCAGAAGAAAUGAACAGCCCCAAUCAUGAGAAGCAUGAGCUGUCUGCAUCACCCACCCUCCACACUGAGGAAGCCCCAAGAUACAUGUGAGAGCAAGGAAGGGAUGAAACCUGGGUUUAUUGAUGCUCUUCUGUCUUCCGCAAGACAAGAAAGGAGUUCAUGCUGGUCCUGCAAGAGGCUGCUCCAUUAAGAGCUGCUCCUCCCGGUUCAAUAGUCCACCAUGCUGCCAUACUUCUCUUGAAGGGCAGAGAAUUGCCAUUCCACUGUGAGAGAUCCCUGUGGAUUCUUUGGAUUACGUAAAGAUGUUCAGCUGAUCAUACAUGUCUUAGGUCCAAUCCAAGCAGCUGGGCCAUAAUAGACACAUUAUCUUGCUUCUCACAUGUUCCCUUCCUUUGUUUGGGACCCUUGUAAGUAUUCUGUUUUGAGGGCAACCAGAGAGCCAACCAACUGGUUUUGGAAUAAAAAUGCUAAUGUUCAGAUUAACAUCUAAGGCAUGACUUAAUACUUUCCCAAAUGUCA